AACAACUCUGGUUCCUGUGCAAUCUAGCCAUAAUGGAGGAGUAAACAGAAAAGACUAUAAUUGACGAGGAGGAGGAAACGCGGCCAAACCUGUAAGCAUAUAUCACUAAAGUUCUCUAUAAGAUACUACGCACUUGUCCUUACACUUGCCUGUAUCCUAUCAUGCAGACCUCAGUCAUUUCUUUUAAAUAUGCGGGAGGCAAUGGGAGGAGUAGCAACAAAGGAGAAAUGAGUGAGAGGCAAGUGGUCGAAACCCUGGAUAGCUCAGACUUCUCUAAGUCACUCAAUUAGUUGCCAUAGUGAAACAUCUUACUGCAGUUAUAAGUAUCUGUACUAAUUGGUACCAUAAUGACAACCUUAGCCAUCUUGCUUAGGGGAUAUAUGUGUACUAUAAUAUCGAAACUUCUAAAUAAAGAGGCUUUUUGUGCAGGAGAUGGGUAGUUGGGUACUAACAUGAAGAUUUCUUUCAACACUGGUUCAUACAAUCCCACAAAGUUAAUUUUGUCCAGGUGAUAUAUACAAUGGAAUACAUCACUAUGCACACAUAAUAAUAAACAAUGAUUGAUUCUAAAAUACAUAAUCACACAAUGUAUCUAAUAAGAAGAAAAAAAUUCCAAUUGCACAAACUUUACAAAAGCAUUUUCAAUCACCAUCGAUGCAGGUCUAAUGUUUGCUGCUUCAAAAACAUCCAAGGAGUUUCUUGGGAGCAGUUCCAGUGGCGCGGUAUUUUGCUGCCAAUUCCUCUGCCUUAAGAAGAUCU
rnacentral:lncRNA from 1 species